rnacentral:rRNA from 1 species
AGAGUUUGAUCCUGGCUCAGGAUGAACGCUAGCGGCAGGCUUAACACAUGCAAGUCGAGGGGCAGCGGGGGGCGCGCUUGCGCGUCCCGCCGGCGACCGGCGCACGGGUGAGUAACACGUAUGCAACCUGCCCCCGCCAGGGGUACAACCCUCCGAAAGGGGGGCUGAUACCGCGUACAUCCCCCGGGGGCAUCCCCGGGGGAGGAAAGCCCUACGGGGCGGGCGGUGAUGGGCAUGCGGCGCAUUAGGAAGACGGCGGUGUGACGGACCACCGUUCCGACGAUGCGUAGGGGUUCUGAGAGGAAGGCCCCCCACACUGGUACUGAGACACGGACCAGACUCCUACGGGAGGCAGCAGUGAGGAAUAUUGGUCAAUGGCCGGAAGGCUGAACCAGCCAAGCCGCGUGAGGGAGGAAGGCGCAGAGCGUCGCAGACCUCUUUUGCCGGGGGACAAAAGGCCGGACUCGUCCGGUCCUGAGGGUACCCGGAGAAAAAGCAUCGGCUAACUCCGUGCCAGCAGCCGCGGUAAUACGGAGGAUGCGAGCGUUAUCCGGAUUCAUUGGGUUUAAAGGGUGCGCAGGCGGGCCUUUAAGCCGGCGGUGAAAUCGCGGGGCUCAACCCCGCCGAGCCGUCGGAACUGGGGGCCUUGAGUGCGGCGGAGGCAUGCGGAAUGCGCGGUGUAGCGGUGAAAUGCAUAGAUAUCGCGCAGAACCCCGAUUGCGAAGGCAGCGUGCCGUGCCGCCACUGACGCUGAGGCACGAAAGCGCGGGGAUCGAACAGGAUUAGAUACCCUGGUAGUCCGCGCCGUAAACGAUGGAUGCUGGGUGUCCGGGGCGUUCAGGCCCUGGGUGCCGGAGCGAAAGCGGUAAGCAUCCCACCUGGGGAGUACGCCGGCAACGGUGAAACUCAAAGGAAUUGACGGGGGCCCGCACAAGCGGAGGAACAUGUGGUUUAAUUCGAUGAUACGCGAGGAACCUUACCCGGGCUCAAACGCCGAAGGGACAUUCCCCGAAAGGGGAUUGGCCAGCAAUGGUCUUCGGCGAGGUGCUGCAUGGUUGUCGUCAGCUCGUGCCGUGAGGUGUCGGAUUAAGUUCCAUAACGAGCGCAACCCCCGCGCGCAGUUGCUAACGGGUCAGGCCGAGGACUCUGCGCGGACUGCCGGCGCAAGCCGCGAGGAAGGCGGGGACGACGUCAAAUCAGCACGGCCCUUACGUCCGGGGCGACACACGUGUUACAAUGGCAGGUACAGCGGGAUGCCAUGGGGCGACCCAGAGCGGAACCCGAAAACCUGUCUCAGUUCGGAUUGGAGUCUGCAACCCGACUCCAUGAAGCUGGAUUCGCUAGUAAUCGCGCAUCAGCCACGGCGCGGUGAAUACGUUCCCGGGCCUUGCACACACCGCCCGUCA